rnacentral:rRNA from 1 species
GGUACGAAUUAACUCCCAACCCCUGUGACAUACCAAUUGUUGCCUCGGCGGAUCAGCCCGCUCCCGGUAAAACGGGACGGCCCGCCAGAGGACCCCUAAACUCUGUUUCUAUAUGUAACUUCUGAGUAAAACCAUAAAUAAAUCAAAACUUUCAACAACGGAUCUCUUGGUUCUGGCAUCGAUGAAGAACGCAGCAAAAUGCGAUAAGUAAUGUGAAUUGCAGAAUUCAGUGAAUCAUCGAAUCUUUGAACGCACAUUGCGCCCGCCAGUAUUCUGGCGGGCAUGCCUGUUCGAGCGUCAUUUCAACCCUCAAGCCCAGCUUGGUGUUGGGACUCGCGAGUCAAAUCGCGUUCCCCAAAUUGAUUGGCGGUCACGUCGAGCUUCCAUAGCGUAGUAGUAAAACCCUCGUUACUGGUAAUCGUCGCGGCCACGCCGUUAAACCCCAACUUCUGAAUGUUGACCUCGGAUCAGGUAGGAAUACCCGCUGAACUUAAGCAUACUA